AUGAGUGAUAACGAGGAUAAAAUAUUGGAUACAGUGUCAGACUUUGUCUCUGUGGUAGAUUUUUUUGUUUCAAUAUUUUUAUUUGUUACAGAGGAAGAGUUCAAUCUGGAGACUGGGAAGGGAAAUUACUGUGAUGUAAAGACAAAAGCAGCCCCUGGCGAUAGGUCCAAGUCCAGAGAAAGGCUUCCUCCUAGCUGCUCUUGGUGCCCGACAGUGAAAAAGACUGACAGAACUACCUCAAAGGGCAGAGAGGCAUUACACUAAUCAAAUGAGAGAAGCUAACAAGGAUGACAAGCGUUGCAAAUCUUAAAGCUCUAGGCAAGUGUUAGCUCCUAUUUUCCCAUCGGUCUGAGGCGGUCUGUAUAUUUUUCCUGCUCCACCAUUAGGGACGUCACAUUUGCCACUCCUGAGAGCCCCAGCUCAGACAGAAAAGCUCCUCCAUCGGGCCAUUCCCCCAGGUCACUGGGGUUCGAGACCCUCUGCAGUAUCUACGCGUCCUGAGGACCACUGCGGAGGGAUUCAAGCUCUAAGCGAAUCCUGAGAGCAGAUGUAGACUGGUGGGCCAUGAACCGAACCCUUGCCUCGGCAAAUCCUUGGCUGCCCCUCUCUGUUCUUGGACGUUGGCUCCUCAUCCUCUCCAGCCUCUCUAGCCCUCCUCUGCAGGUGUCCUUCUGUCCUUUCUGACUCUCCUCUCGGGGGCCUGGGUCUGAACAGAGGAGAAUAACCCUGCACACACCUCUCCUUAGAUCCCUGGCCAGGCUGUGAUUAAGAAAGGCUGACGGUGCACUGAGCUGGAAGUCUCAGCUGGGAGUUGGAAACCAGAGAGCAAACAGAGCACCCGAGCAGAAUCUGGAGCAGUAAAAGGAUCUCACGACUGCAACUGGUGCUGGAAGACCUCCACGGGGCCAGGUUUGGGGUGAGCGAGGCACUGCACAACCUCCUUUUGGGAGGUGGGGGUCCGUGCUAGUCAUGGGAAGAGCAGGUGGGGGCUGGGGAGGGGGUUAGCCCUGGGGCUGUACCCUCUCCUGUUUAGGGACGGGGGUGGGGGGGGCAAGCUGUGUGACAAGAUCAGGUUUUGGAGUCCCCCGGCUGAAGCUAUGCCAGAAGAGCGGACGAAAACCAAGUGCUCUCUUGGAGAAGGGGGCGGGCUCGUGUUUUGGUUU
rnacentral:lncRNA from 1 species